GGGCGUGUGGUCUAGUGGUAUGAUUCUCGCUUUGGGCAUCGCGUUCCGAGUAUGCGAGAGGCCCUGGGUUCAAUUCCCAGCUCGCCCC